AUUCAAUCCCAGGAAUAUCAGAGAGCUUCCAAAGUCUUUUUUGCCCACAUAAAAGUGACAACCAUCUCUUUAUAAAAACUUCAUAGUUCCUGGACUUUUAAACAGGAAAAUACUCCUUUUCUAAAGUCUGUGAAUUGAAGCUCUGUCCAACUUACUGAAUUCCUCUGGGAAAAUCUUUGGAUAAGGAUCUGACACUGAGAUUUGAACCACCUCAGGGCUUCCAGAGGUGAACUGCCAGGGUGAUUACUUUAUUCCACAUUGAAAUAGUCUCCAGAACCUGGAGCUGGGCCACUUCUCAUUUAGCUGAUGUUCCUCAAAAACCCAGGGAAUCCUGUAACAGUCUGUUACAAGUCUCAGCAUUCCAAAAAAGCUCCAAAAUCUUGGAUAUGAGAACUUGAAGACUGUGUUGAUUAUAUCUUGUCUUUGUUCCCCCAAGGAUGUGCUCAAGCAGUUGUCCAAUUGUAGGGGAGAAGAAAGUUCUGAGAACUUUUAUAAACUUAUGGGAGUUGAGGCUUUGCAAGGACCCACAGCUUGGCUGAAGUUGGGCAGGUCUCACUGGGAAGGAAGUGUGAGAGAGACAUUUCCCAGCCCUCUGGAUCUGCCUGCUGGGAGCAGGCUCAAAGAUGUUUUACUUCAUGUCCAAAGCCCUCAGUGGUGUCAUCUGGCCAGACUGUCCCUUGGAGCUGGUGUUCUGAGGAGGAAGAAUCUCUGAGAAAGGCACAAAUGGAAUGGAUUUGGCAGAUUACCAGACUUGGCUGACUUUUGCAGCAGAAGCCACCAGCCAAGGGCAGCUCUAGCACUGAAGUGGUUUUGUGGAGAGGAGCACUGGGUGUGCUGGGCCUUCAUCCCUCUCACAUCUUGAUCUGCCUCUUGCUGGCACCACUUAUGGGGCAGAAAGAGACCUCAGAAAACACGGAGGCUUUGCCACCCCCCUGAUACAGCUGUUCCUAUCCAAAGCAUCACAGUAAAUGGAGUUUUAAUCUCACAGACAGAUGUGCAGAGAGUGAAAUGAUGCAGAGAAGCUCACAAGGCUCAGACCUGCUUUCCUGGCCACAGAGGAGCUGGGUAUGUUCUGUCUGGGAUGGUGCUAAACUUAAGCAGUUUGGUGAGGGACAUCUCCCAGGACCUGUGUGAUACAGAACGAGUGUGAGGGGCAGGCAUGGGUUUCCAGCAGGAGGUUGCUUCAUAUUUAGCUGAAUUCUUCUCCUGAGUGACCUUUUGGGGUGUGAUUAAUCCCUGGGCUAUGCAUGCACAGAUGGGUUUUGUUGUCUAGACUGUGCUUUGUCGUAUCAGUUCCUGGCAGUCUCAUCUACGUACAAGUUAAACGUUUUUUAUUUUUUUUUUCAUAGUUGUACUGUUAGAAAACUCCAGAGUGAAUCAUGGUCAUAAUGUCAUGUAUUUUCUUCCACAGCCAGCCAUUUUUAGGUUGAUCCAUACAUUUAUAUUGCAGGAUGUCUCUGAAGACAUGAGAAUCACCUCUCUGAUUGAUUCUCCCUCCUUGCAUCACCUUUAGGGCUGCUUCAGACAAAGAUACUCCUGAAUUGGUGAGGAAGAUGGAGUUUUAUAAUGGAGAAAUAGUCUGUUGAUAGUAGUUAAUCUCCUUGUUUAAAGAAAAAAGACCCGUUUCAUCUUCUAAUUUAAUGAUAAAUUGCAGUGAUUCAUCAGGGAAGGAGGGUUUAUUAAUAGAGAGGAUAAUAAAUGGGCUGCAGAGAGAUAUGAGAAAAUAGUUUUGUCAAAUAAGGGAGUUAGAGGGGGAAAAAAGCAGAGCUUGAGGUUAGAACUGGAAUCUUCAGAAUCACUGGUACCUCUCUGCACCCCACACAUCAAAUCAAGGACCUUCUCUCCUUGUGCCAGAUUUAACUGCAUUAGGUUAAAUUGAGACUGUAAAUGAUCCAAGAACAGAAAUGUUCUAUCUAUGACAUGUCUCCAGAUCCAGAACAGGCAUGAAAAUACUCUAGGAAUGUUCUGAGUUGAAGGGGAGCUGGAACUGUCUAUGAAUUUGUGUUGAACUUAGGGAAUUGCUUC